AUUGAACGCUGGCGGCAUGCCUUACACAUGCAAGUCGAACGGUAACAGGUCUUCGGAUGCUGACGAGUGGCGAACGGGUGAGUAAUACAUUGGAACGUGCCUAGUAGUGGGGGAUAACUACUCGAAAGAGUGGCUAAUACCGCAUGAGAUCUACGGAUGAAAGCAGGGGAUCGCAAGACCUUGUGCUACUAGAGCGGCCGAUGGCAGAUUAGGUAGUUGGUGGGACAAAAGCUUACCAAGCCGACGAUCUGUAGCUGGUCUGAGAGGACGAUCAGCCACACUGGGACUGAGACACGGCCCAGACUCCUACGGGAGGCAGCAGUGGGGAAUUUUGGACAAUGGGCGAAAGCCUGAUCCAGCAAUGCCGCGUGCAGGAUGAAGGCCUUCGGGUUGUAAACUGCUUUUGUACGGAACGAAAAGCCCCGGGUUAAUACCCUGGGGUCAUGACGGUACCGUAAGAAUAAGCACCGGCUAACUACGUGCCAGCCGCCGCGGUAA
rnacentral:rRNA from 1 species